GACGAACGCUGGCGGCGUGCUUAACACAUGCAAGUCGAACGGAAAGGCCCUGCUUUUGUGGGGUGCUCGAGUGGCGAACGGGUGAGUAACACGUGAGUAACCUGCCCUUGACUUUGGGAUAACUUCAGGAAACUGGGGCUAAUACCGGAUAGGAGCUCCUGCUGCGUGGUGGGGGUUGGAAAGUUUCGGCGGUUGGGGAUGGACUCGCGGCUUAUCAGCUUGUUGGUGGGGUAGUGGCUUACCAAGGCUUUGACGGGUAGCCGGCCUGAGAGGGUGACCGGCCACAUUGGGACUGAGAUACGGCCCAGACUCCUACGGGAGGCAGCAGUGGGGAAUAUUGCACAAUGGGCGGAAGCCUGAUGCAGCAACGCCGCGUGCGGGAUGACGGCCUUCGGGUUGGAAACCGCUUUCGCCUGUGACGAAGCGUGAGUGACGGUAAUGGGUAAAGAAGCACCGGCUAACUACGUG
rnacentral:rRNA from 1 species